rnacentral:rRNA from 1 species
UACGUAGGGGGCAAGCGUUGUCCGAAAUUAUUGGGCGUAAAGCGCGUGUAGGCGGCUCGGUAAGUCUGCUGUGAAAGUCCAGGGCUCAACCCUGGAAUGCCGGUGGAUACUGUCGAGCUCGAGUCCGGAAGAGGCGAGUGGAAUUCCUGGUGUAGCGGUGAAAUGCGCAGAUAUCAGGAGGAACACCAAUGGCGAAGGCAGCUCGCUGGGACGGUACUGACGCUGAGACGCGAAAGCGUGGGGAGCAAACAGG